CCUCCUCACACUCUUCCCCUGAUGGACCCUUCUGAUGGAGGACUGUCUUCCAGGGACUUCUCCAGGAUAAGGACUUGAAAACUGCCUUUGCAGUCUCUCUCUCUCCUGUGCCGCACAGAGACAUUCCUUCAGCCUGCGAUUUCUCUUGGUUUAAGCAGUAUUUAUCAAAUGGAAACAUAUGUAUACAGUGGUACUCUUCAGAUCCAUAUUAUCUGCUCUCUAAAGCCAUCAAAAUGAAUUUUUUGCCUCUGAAAUGAUAACAGAUGGAGUCCUUUCAAAAUCAAUGGGGAA